rnacentral:rRNA from 1 species
GUAUCCGGAUUUAUUGGGUUUAAAGGGAGCGUAGAUGGAUGUUUAAGUCAGUUGUGAAAGUUUGCGGCUCAACCGUAAAAUUGCAGUUGAUACUGGAUGUCUUGAGUGCAGUUGAGGCAGGCGGAAUUCGUGGUGUAGCGGUGAAAUGCUUAGAUAUCACGAAGAACUCCGAUUGCGAAGGCAGCCUGCUAAGCUGCAACUGACAUAGAGGCUCGAAAAUGUGGGUAUCAAACAGGAUUAGAUACCCUGGUAGUCCACACGGUAAACGAUGAAUACUCGCUGUUUGCGAUAUACGGCAAGCGGCCAAGCGAAAGCGUUAAGUAUUCCACCUGGGGAGUACGCCGGCAACGGUGAAACUCAAAGGAAUUGACGGGGGCCCGCCCAAGCGAAGGAACAUGUGGUUUAAUU